rnacentral:rRNA from 1 species
GAUGAACGCUGGCGGCGUGCCUAAUACAUGCAAGUCGAACGAAUCUUCUUCGGAAGAUGAGUGGCGAACGGGUGAGUAAUACAUAGGUAACCUGCCCCUGUGCGGGGGAUAACAGGAGGAAACUCCUGCUAAUACCGCAUAGCCAUGAGCACCGCAUGGAGCUCAUGCCAAAUAUCCUUUCGGGGAUAGCGCAGGGAUGGACCUAUGGCGCAUUAGCGGGUUGGCGGGGCAACGGCCCACCAAGGCAACGAUGCGUAGCCGGCCUGAGAGGGCGGACGGCCACAUUAGGACUGAGACACGGCCCAGACUCCUACGGGAGGCAGCAGUAGGGAAUUUUCGGCAAUGGGGGAAACCCUGACCGAGCAACGCCGCGUGAGCGAAGAAGGCCUUCGGGUCGUAAAGCUCUGUUGUAAAGGAAGAACGGCGCAUACAGGAAAUGGUAUGCGAGUGACGGUACUUUACCAGAAAGCCACGGCUAACUACGUGCCAGCAGCCGCCGUAA